GGCCAGGGCUACACACGUGCUACAAUGGUCGGUACAAAGGGUUGCUACACAGCGAUGUGAUGCUAAUCUCAAAAAGCCGGUCGUAGUCCGGAUUGGAGUCUGCAACUCGACUCCAUGAAGUCGGAAUCGCUAGUAAUCGUAGAUCAGAAUGCUACGGUGAAUACGUUCCCGGGCCUUGUACACACCGCCCGUCACACCAUGGGAGUGGGUUGCAAAAGAAGUAGGUAGCUUAACCUUCGGGAGGGCGCUUACCACUUUGUGAUUCAUGACUGGGGUGAAGUCGUAACAAGGUAACCGUAGGGGAACCUGCRGUUGGAUCACCUCCUUA
rnacentral:rRNA from 1 species